rnacentral:rRNA from 1 species
AGCCUAAUGGAAACCUAUAUUAGGUCAAUUCUGCCCAGUGAAAUUUCAACGGCCGCGGUAUCCUGACCGUGCAAAGGUAGCAUAAUCACUUGCCCGUUAAUUACGGGCUAGAAUGAACGAGCAAACGAAAAUUACCCUGUCUCAAUUUUAAACCUAUAAACUAACCUUCAGGUGAAGAGACCUGUAUAUAAUUAAAAGACAAAAAGACCCUGUCGAGCUUUAAUAUCAAAGGAAAAAGAAACCAAAAUUCCCUCUCCUAUUUUUGUUGGGGCGACAAAGGAAUAAAAAAAACUUCCUAAAAAAAAAGAAUCCUAAUCAAACAAAAGACCCACUAUUUGAUCACAGGCAUAGCUACCGCAGGGAUAACAGACUUAUUUUUUCCGAGAGCUCAAAUCAACGAAAAAGUUUGGCACCUCGAU